GAUGAACGCUAGCGGCAGGCCUAACACAUGCAAGUCGAGGGGUAGCAGGACUAAGCUUGCUUAAUUGCUGACGACCGGCGCACGGGUGCGUAACACGUAUGCAACCUACCUUAUACUGGGGUAUAGCCCGGAGAAAUUCGGAUUAAUCCCCCAUAGUACUAAUGAAUCGCAUGGUUUAUUAGUUAAAGCAUUGCGGUAUAAGAUGGGCAUGCGUCCUAUUAGCUAGAUGGUGAGGUAACGGCUCACCAUGGCUACGAUAGGUAGGGGGCCUGAGAGGGUGGUCCCCCACACUGGUACUGAGACACGGACCAGACUCCUACGGGAGGCAGCAGUGAGGAAUAUUGGUCAAUGGGCGCAAGCCUGAACCAGCCAUGCCGCGUGCAGGAAGAAUGCCCUAUGGGUUGUAAACUGCUUUUAUUUGGGAAUAAACCUCUUUACGUGUAGAGAGCUGAAGGUACCAAAUGAAUAAGCACCGGCUAACUCCGUGCCAGCAGCCGCAGUAA
rnacentral:rRNA from 1 species